GGCUCCGUAGCUCAAUGGAUAGAGCAACGGUCUUCUACACCGCAGGUUACAGGUUCGAGUCCUGUCGGGGCCGCCA
rnacentral:tRNA from 1 species